CAAGCGGUGGAGCAUGUGGUUUAAUUCGACGCAACGCGCAGAACCUUACCAGCCCUUGACAUCCCGGUCGCGGACUCCAAAGACGGAGUUCUUCAGUUCGGCUGGACCGGAGACAGGUGCUGCAUGGCUGUCGUCAGCUCGUGUCGUGAGAUGUUGGGUUAAGUCCCGCAACGAGCGCAACCCCCGUCCUUAGUUGCUACCAUUUAGUUGAGCACUCUAAGGAGACUGCCGGUGAUAAGCCGCGAGGAAGGUGGGGAUGACGUCAAGUCCUCAUGGCCCUUACGGGCUGGGCUACACACGUGCUACAAUGGCGGUGACAAUGGGAAGCGAAGACGCAAGUCCUAGCAAAUCUCAAAAAGCCGUCUCAGUUCGGAUUGGGCUCUGCAACUCGAGCCCAUGAAGUUGGAAUCGCUAGUAAUCGUGGAUCAACACGCCACGGUAAAUACUUUCCCGGGCCUUGUACACACC
rnacentral:rRNA from 1 species